rnacentral:lncRNA from 1 species
UCUUAGUCUAAGAAAUUUUUCUUGAUUUUAAAAAAUUUUACUUGAUUCAAGAAUUUAUCGUCCAAACAUUUGGUCAUUCACCGAAAAGCUGCGAGAUUUACAAGCCGUAACAUAUUUCGAAUUGCAAUCAUUGUUGCGUGGGCAACCAGUUAUUCGUGAUCCUCGUUGUCAAACUUUAAUACGAGAUCGAGAUCUUCACACUGCUUGGUUAUUGUUCGAACAAGAUGUUUUGGACAUACCAAAUUUUCUAGCUUGUGCUAGUUUCUUCCUGAAAUCAACAUAUAUACAGGCACAAGAAAACCUGAACAACAUGGACAUCAGAAGUGAUGAAGAAGAAGAUUUUUUAGCAAUAGGAAACAUUAUUCUGCAGCCAGCUGCUCAUUAUUAUAGGAUGGUCGUUUUCCAAGAAGUGGAAAUGAUUUUUGAAUAAUUUAAUUACCUCACCUCAUACUAUAAGUUCUUGUAGUUAAGUCAAGGAUGUCAAGGAUGUCAAAAAAACAACGUCAAUAAAGUGUAUGGAGCGAAAGAAAUUUUUAGAUGUGCCUUUUGCCGUGCUGAAGUCCUUUGGCUAGACUUAAUUAUUUAAUAUUUUACUAUUAAUAUUAAUUCUAUAAUUUUAAUUCUAUAA